CAUAUUUAGCUUUGGCCUCUGCACAUUUAGAUCUAGAGGAAUAUGAGUCUUGAGUCCUCAUCCCCAGAAUAUGAGGAAGAGAAGGGACUUCUUAGAAACCUCUGAAGUGUGCAGUGCACCCUGGGAAGAUGCAUUUGGCCCAUGGCAAAUGAGUGUAGUGUCUGUGGGCCUGGUGCAGCUAUAGGGAGCACCACUCAAGGCAGACAGGGACCUGCCAAAUGUUGAAACUGUUACCAGAAAAAUGGGGACGUGGCCAUUCUGAUGAGGCGCCUAAGCCUCCCAUCUUUCCCAGAAGGCCUGGUAGUUACCUGCAGGCCCAAAGAUUCAGAAUCCAAUGACCAAGACUUCCCCAAGGAGCUGGCUAGGUAGGGAGAAGUCGAGGGAAGCUCAGUGGUCAGCACCUCCCCCAAGGUACAGGGUCUCAUUUGGAAGGUCCAGGCCAGGGUUAGAACAGCAAGACUGUUACUGGGUCUUUCUCCAAGUAAGGGUUUGAAGACCAGCUCACUGGGACCUCAGAGCCGUGCACUGCUGGCUCAGCCAUUUUGAGGCUACUGAGAAGGUGAAGACCAGUGCUGUCUCCUCCCCAGGAGUGGACAUGGUAGUCAAGGGAGCUGGUCAGACACGGGGAUUUCCCUGGGGUGGGGGGAGCUGUGUGGGUUGUAGAGUAAGGAUGGGGGUGUGUGCAUGGAACCCUGAGCAAAAGCUGAGGAGCAUGAACCACAUACCCAUCUCCUAUAUCAGCUGGCCUUUUGGCUUCCCAUCUCCAGGCCCUCAUCACCCUUUCCUGGGCUACCUUGGCCUCCAUGCAUACCCUCUUAAGCUCAGCGUGGCAGUGUUGAUACUGGUUCUCUCCUCUGGGGACUGGUUCUCUGCUUGGUCGUGGAAGGCCUGAGGUGCCUCUAUGUGCCUUAUCUUGGGCAGGGUGCCAUGGGGGUCCAGACAGGAGGUGCCCAUUAGCUCCAGCUCUGCUUAGUAGAUGAAGGCAGGGAGUGGGAGGUGGGAAACCCCUGCAAGAUGUGCAAGGUGCAGACUCUGAGUUGGGGGUGAGAUGCAGUGGGAGGACGGAAGGAAACUGAGGAGGGAGAUAGAGAAGUGGGAGAGGGACAGGAGGCUCACAGUAUUCUGUGCCCAAGACUAAGGUCCUAAGGGUCUGCAACAGGAGAUGUGGGCCACAGGGAAGGAACCUUGACAGGUGAGGGUCUUCUCUUAAUGACCAGAAGGCUCAGGCUUCUGGGCACAGGACUGCCCUGGAGGAUGACUCCCUCAGCAUGGCUAUUCAUCCAAACACCAUAGACUGGCAUCUGAUCCAGUCAUCCAGAAGUUAAACAGGCUGCCUAACAGGUCCUGGCAUCCAUGUUCACAACAGUAGCAGUCACAGUAGCCAGCGGUGAAACAACCCAGUUUCACCUGCAGACAGAUCUGGAUCAGCAGCAUAUGGUCUAGCCAUUGAAUGGGUGCUACUCAGCCUUAACGGGAAGGAAGGUUUUACCAGCUACAAUGAUUGACCCGAGGAGGCAUGCUGAGUGACACAUGCCAAGUGCUAUAGGAUUCGACUUCAGGGCGUCUGCUGGGCUCAUGCAGAGACAGGAGGUAGAGGAGUCAGUGUUACACAGGGAUGUUUUUAGCUGGGAAAUGGGGUGAUGACGGUUACACAGCAUGACAGCAUAACGCACCCAGCUGUGCACUUAAGCGUCUCCCAACCCCAUACCUCCUUGGACAAAUGGAGGAAGAAUAUAAGGAUGCAUGUCUUUUGCUGAUCCUUGGGAGAGGUGCAGAGGCCUAGCCCCAGAGUGCUUCAGGGGAAGCCUUCCUGGUGGGUGGCCUCGCAGAACUGCCUACUUGCUUUCCCCUUUCUAGCUUCCUUCCAGCCAACCUGGGUGACCCAGCACUCUGCCGGCUGGCAGUGCUCCUUGGGGAUGGGCACAGGCAUCUGUCCAGCUCAGCCUGUCAGAUCCAAGUCCAGGAUGACUAGCAGAGAGACUGAAAUGGGUGCUAUGCUGACCACUGAGUAAUGCCUGGAUGCAGAAUACCUACCCCAAGAAAGGCGUCCGCAUGACCAACUGCUCAGCUGGGGGCUGAGCACAAGCAGGAAGGCUGUGACUCAGGCUUGAAAGCCUCAGUGGAGUAGCCAUAGCACCUGUCCUCUUGUCCUCCACUUGCCUUAAGCUCCCUCCCCCCAGUGCUGGCCAGCCCCGGUGCUGCGACACAGGAGCUGUGUGAGGUCAGCGCCUCAUAGAUCCCUUGGGAGGUGAAGAGGCCCCCAUAAUUCUUAUGCGUGUUAGGCCACAGACUGGCCCCUUUUCCUUGAAGGUUUCUGGUCUCAUUCUAAAGGGAGCGUUGGUUUGAAUCCCAGAGGCCCCUCCCAGCUGAGAGGCUCUUGAUGUCUGGUGUUAACCACCCUGUUGUCUGCUUGGGGCCGGCCCUUCACAUCCUUGCCCCUGGUGGCUAGUCUCUGGUCAGAUCUCGAGGCACAGAGGGUAAAGUCAGGGAAAGGGGGAGGCUUGUGCAGGCCUCCUGGCUGCUUGGAUUUGUUCUUAGUGUAACAGUUUUACUUCUGGUCAGCCAGAUCCUGGGUGACAGCAGCCAGCUCUCCCAGGUGUCCUAUGUACACAGUGCUGUGUGGCUUACCUUGUUCUGUCCUGGUCCCUGGGGUACAGCUUUGUCCUGGUGUCCUGGACCUGCAAGCUGAAACCACGUUACUGUGUCCCUUGAGCACCGUACUGGAGAGUUUCAUUCGCACUGUAGCAUGGGUCAGUGCGUCACCUUUACAGGAAUUCAGUGCUGGACCACUUAGCCGAUUCCGAUUCCUUUGGGUCAUCCCCAGUGUUUAUCCUUCAUCCAUGGAUGGACACCUGCUGUGCUGCCUCCUGUCCUGUGAAUAAUGCCGCUGCAGUGCAGCUCCUGCCUCCAGGUUCCUGCCUUGGCGUCUCUCAAAGAUGGAUUGUGAUCUGGACCUGUAAGCCAAAUAAACCUUUUCCUUCUCCAGUUGCUUUGGUCAGUUUUUCCAGAGCAGU